GGGCCUUGGAGAAUCUGAUGAUGAGUUGAAAGAAGCUAUGGCUGAUUUAAGGGCUAUUGAUGUUGAUAUUUUGACUCUUGGACAGUAUUUACAGCCAACUCCACUACACCUGACUGUCAAAGAAUGUCACCCCUGAAAAGUUUGCUUUCUGGAAGGAAUACGGGGAGUCCAUUGGAUUUCGUUAUGUAGCCAGUGGGACCACUGGUCCGAUCCUCAUAUUGCGGACUUUCCAGUGGAUGGCUCAUGGCUGACAAGUUGACCACAAAAUGGUAAAUGAGAGCAGUAUGUAUUGGGGCAAAUGACUGUAAUGGUUGUCCUAAUUUAUUAUAGGGUAUAAAUUUUCUGGUUCUAGUAAAAAAAUAUCUUCAUUUCUUUGAGGAUUUUAUGUUUUAUUUUAUUUUCAUUGUUUUGUUUUGCUGGUAAUUGGUUGGGAAUUGUUGAGUGUAGGCAAUUUGUUUUGUUGGUUCCAAUUGGUUGCAUCUAAGUGUUG